AGUGGCUAAGUCUUCCUGGAAAGGUUGAGAGGUUAUCUGAUGGGCAGAUUCAAGGAUUCCUGAGACAGAGGACUUUAUUUGGAGAAAAUGUGGCAGUGUGACCAGAAAAAAGACUCUUCAAGAUUCCUGCCAAGAAAUGAGGAUGACCUCAACUGAGAAUUAGUGAGAAGGGAAGUGGAUGGAUUUGAAAGACAUUUAGGAAGUAGAAUGCAUUGAAUUUGGAAAUAUAAGAAAGAAAAGAAAUGAUGAUGAUGUCAAAAUUUCUUGUUGAAAGUUUAUUCAGAACAAUAAUUUUUGAGAAUUUGUUCUAUUUCAGGCACAUAGUUAGAUGUAGGGGUGUAGUGAAGUUUCUAGUCCUGUGGCCAUGCAUGUAUAUUUACGUAUGCAGAAAAUGGUGACAGAGUAUGAUAUGUGCUACAUUAUGGAUUAAUUCAGAGAUUGAAGGACACUGUUCAGUUCUAGUGUUGCUUAACAAACCACCCCAAAUUCAGGGAUAUGAAACAAUGGUUUCACCAUGCUCGUGGAUUCUCUUGGUGAUGAAUUCAGAAAGGAACUUUUGUGGCUAGUUCUCUUCUUCUUGAUGUCUGAUGCCUCACCUGGGAAAAUGUGAAUGACCCAUUAGCUGUGGGCUAAAAUCAUACAAAGUCUUAUUCACCCACAUAUCUGGCUUCUAUAUUGGAAAGACUCAAAGGCUACACCUGGGUGUCUUGACCUGGCUUGCUCACAGCAGGGAAACUUUAGAGGAGUUGGGCCCCUUAUCUGGCAGCUCAAGGCUCUGAGCACAAGUCUUUCAAUGUCCAAGGUGGCAUCACCUUUUCUGAUCUGGCAUCAAAUGACUCUGCCACAUUUUAUUAGUUACAAAUGAGUCCCAAGUCCACCCAGAUUCUAGAGGAGGGGACACAGGCUCCAUCACUCAUUGGGAGCAUUGUCAAAAUUGCAUUGUCAAAUGCAUUUGACUUGGAAGUUAUUGUUGUGGCCAUCUUUGGAAAAUAAAACCUGCCAUAGAUGCCCAACCAAACCUCAGGAUAGGCUUUGAGGAGGAAGUAGUUUUAAAGUGUUCAGGUAGAGGAAACAGCAUAUAUAAAGACCUUCGGAAGGAAAGUAAACAUACUGCAUAGAUGGUAGAUUUGAACUACAGGGAUGGAGAGAACUCAGCUUAUUAAGUAAUUCAGAGCUUGAUCACAAAGGGCCUUUCAACUCUUGCAAAAUAACUUGAACCUUGUUCAGAUGGUGCAGGGAAUCCAUGUAGGGUUUUGAGUGGUAGUGAGGGGGCAUGUUUACAUUUAUGAUUUAGGUAGAUCAUUCUUUCUGUUGGGUCUUGAGUGGUGAACCAGAGUUUUCAAAAGAGAUUGGAUAACAGAAAGAACAGGACAGAUCAUCCUAAUACAGAGUGUCCUUUGAGCUGGACUGCAGAGUACAGAAUGGAUGGGGCCAUGGUAAGAUUAGAGGUAGGGUUGUCAGGGACAAGGUGAUUGUAGCAAUUUAGCUAAAACAGAAUAGUGGCCUACACCAGGAAAAUGGCAGUAGAGUUGGAAAUAAAUGAACAUAUUUGAGAAAUAGAGCAUGCAACAGACUGCACCUGAUGAUGCUUAUGUGUGUGGGAGAAAGAGAUGAAGAGGUAGGCAUUCAAUUACUUGAGGGAGAGAAUACAGGAGGUGGAAGAGGUUGUAGUGGAAAGAAAUGAUGAGAAAAAGUUAUGUAUUUUCAAUAAUUCAGCAUCUAAUUGUGUGUGGUUGACAUGUGAAUUUUAUUAUAAACACUGAAACAUGGUGGUAUUUCUUAGAAGUGCUGUUGAACAGGUGAGAAAAUUCUCUCUUGAAAUAAAAUACACAUUUUCACAUGAAAUUGGUAAAAUACAUUCCUACUCAUUUACUUUUGAUUUGUCAGUCUUUGGCCACAAAAGCAAUAAAUGACUACAGAAAUGACCCUAUAGAAUCUGAAAAAAAUAUUCCCUCCCACCGCAGGUAUUUAGAAUUUGGCCUGAGCUACGUGGGAAAAAUUUCACUGGAAAAUCUAUGGUGAAAGAGGGACAGCUGGAGGUCACAAUUGAAGCUUUGGCCUGUGGUUUUAAAAAUCAGAAAUUUCAUCUAACUCCUUGGAAGAUUCUGGAGACUUCAAAUUGUAAUUCCCACAAACUCAAAUGAACAACCUCAUUCAUUUGCACUUGCACUUCCAGAAGGAAAUACUAUUCUUGGUUAUGAAAAUACAAUUUCUCCCCUAAUGGACUGCCCUUUCUUUGUGAGCAUGCUUGCUUUUAUUAUUCUGAAAGGACAAAUGUAGUCAGGCUACAGAAUGAG
rnacentral:lncRNA from 1 species